CCAAUAGCGUAUAUUAAAGUUGUUGCAGUUAAAAAGCUCGUAGUUGAAUUUCGGGAUCAGAUUGUCGGUCGUGCCUCGGUACGCACUGGCAUUAUUGGUUCCUACCUUCUGAAGAACCGCGAUGUCAUUAAUUUGGUGUCGUGGGGAAUCAGGACUGUUACUUUGAAAAAAUUAGAGUGUUUAAAGCAGGCGCACGCUUGAAUACAUUAGCAUGGAAUAAUGAAAUAGGACGUUUGAUUCUAUUUUGUUGGUUUCUAGGAUCGACGUAAUGAUUAAUAGGG
rnacentral:rRNA from 1 species